rnacentral:rRNA from 1 species
CCGAGUCUUAAUUGGGCGUUAAGUUGCAGGGUAUAGACCCGAAACCCGGUGAUCUAGCCAUGGGCAGGUUGAAGGUUGGGUAACACUAACUGGAGGACCGAACCGACUAAUGUUGAAAAAUUAGCGGAUGACCUGUGGCUGGGGGUGAAAGGCCAAUCAAACCGGGAGAUAGCUGGUUCUCCCCGAAAGCUAUUUAGGUAGCGCCUCGUGAAUUCAUCUCCGGGGGUAGAGCACUGUUUCGGCUAGGGGGCCAUCCCGGCUUACCAACCCGAUGCAAACUGCGAAUACCGGAGAAUGUUAUCACGGGAGACACACGGCGGGUGCUAACGUCCGUCGUGAAGAGGGAAACAACCCAGACCGCCAGCUAAGGUCCCAAAGUCAUGGUUAAGUGGGAAACGAUGUGGGAAGGCCCAGACAGCCAGGAUGUUGGCUUAGAAGCAGCCAUCAUUUAAAGAAAGCGUAAUAGCUCACUGGUCGAGUCGGCCUGCGCGGAAGAUGUAACGGGGCUAAACCAUGCACCGAAGCUGCGGCAGCGACACUGUGUGUUGUUGGGUAGGGGAGCGUUCUGUAAGCCUGUGAAGGUGUGUCGUGA